UUGGUCGUGCCAUUACUUGUAGAGGGCCUU
rnacentral:piRNA from 1 species